AUUCAGCUGACGAGUCCCAAAUAGGGUGAAACGCGCGUCCUGGAU
rfam:Schistosoma mansoni strain Puerto Rico chromosome 1, complete genome